AUUGAACGCUGGCGGCAUGCCUUACACAUGCAAGUCGAACGACGCUAGGGGCAACUCUAGCGAGUGGCGUACGGGUGAGUAAUGCAUCGGGACGUGCCCUCUCGUGGGGGAUAACCAGUCGAAAGAUUGGCUAAUACCGCAUGAGCUCGAGAGAGGAAAGCGGGGGACCGCAAGGCCUCGCGCGAGAGGAGCGGCCGAUGCCCGAUUAGCUAGUUGGUGGGGUAAUGGCCCACCAAGGCGACGAUCGGUAGCUGGUCUGAGAGGACGACCAGCCACACUGGGACUGAGACACGGCCCAGACUCCUACGGGAGGCAGCAGUGGGGAAUUUUGGACAAUGGGGGCAACCCUGAUCCAGCCAUGCCGCGUGUGUGAAGAAGGCCUUCGGGUUGUAAAGCACUUUCGGACGGAACGAAUCGCGCGGGUGAACAAUCCGCGUGGAUGACGGUACCGUAAGAAGAAGCACCGGCUAACUACGUGCCAGCAGCCGCCGCGG
rnacentral:rRNA from 1 species